rnacentral:rRNA from 1 species
AUGCUUUACACAUGCAAGUCGAACGGCAGCACGAGAGAGCUUGCUCUCUUGGUGGCGAGUGGCGGACGGGUGAGUAAUAUAUCGGAACGUGCCCAGUAGCGGGGGAUAACUACUCGAAAGAGUGGCUAAUACCGCAUACGCCCUACGGGGGAAAGGGGGGGAUUCUUCGGAACCUCUCACUAUUGGAGCGGCCGAUAUCGGAUUAGCUAGUUGGUGGGGUAAAGGCUCACCAAGGCAACGAUCCGUAGCUGGUUUGAGAGGACGACCAGCCACACUGGGACUGAGACACGGCCCAGACUCCUACGGGAGGCAGCAGUGGGGAAUUUUGGACAAUGGGGGAAACCCUGAUCCAGCCAUCCCGCGUGUAUGAUGAAGGCCUUCGGGUUGUAAAGUACUUUUGGCAGAGAAGAAAAGGUAUCCCCUAAUACGGGAUACUGCUGACGGUAUCUGCAGAAUAAGCACCGGCUAACUACGUGCCAGC